rnacentral:rRNA from 1 species
UACGGAGGGUGCGAGCGUUGUCCGGAAUCACUGGGCGUAAAGGGCGCGUAGGCGGCGCGGAUAGUCGGCGGUGAAAGCCCGGAGCUCAACUCCGGGUCGGCCGUCGAUACUUCCGGGCUUGAGCACUGUAGAGGCAGAUGGAAUUCCGGGUGUAGCGGUGGAAUGCGUAGAGAUCCGGAAGAACACCGGUGGCGAAGGCGGCGAGCUGGUCCAUUACUGACGCUGAGGCGCGACAGCGUGGGGAGCAAACAGG